AUUGAACGCUGGCGGCAUGCCUUACACAUGCAAGUCGAACGGCAGCACGGGGCAACCUGGUGGCGAGUGGCGAACGGGUGAGUAAUGCAUCGGAACGUACCUUUCAGUGGGGGAUAACGUAGCGAAAGUUACGCUAAUACCGCAUAUUCUGUGAGCAGGAAAGCAGGGGAUCGCAAGACCUUGCGCUGAUUGAGCGGCCGAUGUCAGAUUAGCUAGUUGGUGAGGUAAAGGCUCACCAAGGCGACGAUCUGUAGCGGGUCUGAGAGGAUGAUCCGCCACACUGGCACUGAGACACGGUCCAGAGUCCUACGGGAGGCAGAAGUGGGGAAUUUUGCACAAUGGGGGCAACCCUGAUCCAGCCAUGCCGCGUGAGUGAAGAAGGCUUUCGGGUUGUAAAGCUCUUUCGGCCGGGAAGAAAUCGCACGGGCUAAUACCCUGUGUGGAUGACGGUACCGGAAUAAGAAGCACCGGCUAACUACGUGCCAGCCGCCGCGGUAAAAC
rnacentral:rRNA from 1 species